rnacentral:rRNA from 1 species
UAGGUAGCGCCUCGUGAAUUCAUCUCCGGGGGUAGAGCACUGUUUCGGCUAGGGGGCCAUCCCGGCUUACCAACCCGAUGCAAACUGCGAAUACCGGAGAAUGUUAUCACGGGAGACACACGGCGGGUGCUAACGUCCGUCGUGAAGAGGGAAACAACCCAGACCGCCAGCUAAGGUCCCAAAGUCAUGGUUAAGUGGGAAACGAUGUGGGAAGGCCCAGACAGCCAGGAUGUUGGCUUAGAAGCAGCCAUCAUUUAAAGAAAGCGUAAUAGCUCACUGGUCGAGUCGGCCUGCGCGGAAGAUGUAACGGGGCUAAACCAUGCACCGAAGCUGCGGCAGCGACGCUGAUGCGUUGUUGGGUAGGGGAGCGUUCUGUAAGCCUGCGAAGGUGGCCUGUGAGGGUUGCUGGAGGUAUCAGAAGUGCGAAUGCUGACAUAAGUAACGAUAAAGCGGGUGAAAAGCCCGCUCGCCGGAAGACCAAGGGUUCCUGUCCAACGUUAAUCGGGGCAGGGUGAGUCGACCCCUAAGGCGAGGCCGAAAGGCGUAGUCGAUGGGAAACGGGUUAAUAUUCCCGUACUUGGUGUUACUGCGAAGGGGGGACGGAGAAGGCUAUGUUGGCCGGGCGACGGUUGUCCCGGUUUAAGCGUGUAGGUGUGUGUUCCAGGUAAAUCCGGUUCACUUUAACACUGAGGCGUGAUGACGAGGCACUACGGUGCUGAAGCAACAAAUGCCCUGCUUCCAGGAAAAGCCUCUAAGCAUCAGGUAACAUCAAAUCGUACCCCAAACCGACACAGGUGGUCAGGUAGAGAAUACCAAGGCGCUUGAGAGAACUCGGGUGAAGGAACUAGGCAAAAUGGUGCCGUAACUUCGGGAGAAGGCACGCUGACACGUAGGUGAAGUGAUUUACUCAUGGAGCUGAAGUCAGUCGAAGAUACCAGCUGGCUGCAACUGUUUAUUAAAAACACAGCACUGUGCAAACACGAAAGUGGACGUAUACGGUGUGACGCCUGCCCGGUGCCGGAAGGUUAAUUGAUGGGGUCAGCGCAAGCGAAGCUCCUGAUCGAAGCCCCGGUAAACGGCGGCCGUAACUAUAACGGUCCUAAGGUAGCGAAAUUCCUUGUCGGGUAAGUUCCGACCUGCACGAAUGGCGUAAUGAUGGCCAGGCUGUCUCCACCCGAGACUCAGUGAAAUUGAACUCGCUGUGAAGAUGCAGUGUACCCGCGGCAAGACGGAAAGACCCCGUGAACCUUUACUAUAGCUUGACACUGAACAUUGAGCCUUGAUGUGUAGGAUAGGUGGGAGGCUUUGAAGUGUGGACGCCAGUCUGCAUGGAGCCGACCUUGAAAUACCACCCUUUAAUGUUUGAUGUUCUAACGUGGACCCGUGAUCCGGGUUGCGGACAGUGUCUGGUGGGUAGUUUGACUGGGGCGGUCUCCUCCUAAAGAGUAACGGAGGAGCACGAAGGUUGGCUAAUCCUGGUCGGACAUCAGGAGGUUAGUGCAAUGGCAUAAGCCAGCUUGACUGCGAGCGUGACGGCGCGAGCAGGUGCGAAAGCAGGUCAUAGUGAUCCGGUGGUUCUGAAUGGAAGGGCCAUCGCUCAACGGAUAAAAGGUACUCCGGGGAUAACAGGCUGAUACCGCCCAAGAGUUCAUAUCGACGGCGGUGUUUGGCACCUCGAUGUCGGCUCAUCACAUCCUGGGGCUGAAGUAGGUCCCAAGGGUAUGGCUGUUCGCCAUUUAAAGUGGUACGCGAGCUGGGUUUAGAACGUCGUGAGACAGUUCGGUCCCUAUCUGCCGUGGGCGCUGGAGAACUGAGGGGGGCUGCUCCUAGUACGAGAGGACCGGAGUGGACGCAUCACUGGUGUUCGGGUUGUCAUGCCAAUGGCACUGCCCGGUAGCUAAAUGCGGAAGAGAUAAGUGCUGAAAGCAUCUAAGCACGAAACUUGCCCCGAGAUGAGUUCUCCCUGAGACUUUAGGUCUCCUGAAGGAACGUUGAAGACGACGACGUUGAUAGGCCGGGUGUGUAAGCGCAGCGAUGCGUUGAGCUAACCGGUACUAAUGAACCGUGAGGCUUAACCUUACA